AGGACGAACGCUGGCGGCGUGCUUAACACAUGCAAGUCGAGCGAACCUUCGGGUUAGCGGCGAACGGGUGAGUAACACGUGGGCAACCUGCCCCAAGCUCUGGGAUAACCUCCGGAAACGGGGACUAAUACCGGAUAUGACUCUUGAAGACAUCUUCUUGAGUGGAAAGUUUUUCGGCUUGGGGAUGGGCCCGCGGCCUAUCAGCUUGUUGGUGGGGUAACGGCCUACCAAGGCGACGACGGGUAGCCGGCCUGAGAGGGCGACCGGCCACACUGGGACUGAGACACGGCCCCAGACUCCUACGGGAGGCAGCAGUGGGGAAUAUUGCGCAAUGGGCGAAAGCCUGACGCAGCGACGCCGCGUGAGGGAUGAAGGCCUUCGGGUUGUAAACCUCUUUCAGCAGGGACGAAGCGAAAGUGACGGUACCUGCAGAAGAAGCACCGGCCAACUACGCGCCAGCAGCCGC
rnacentral:rRNA from 1 species